rnacentral:lncRNA from 1 species
GUCCUUCUGGAUAUUGAUUGUACUCUUCAGAAGCUAUUUCUCUCCAGUCUGCUCCUAUUUUUUGACUUUUUUUCAUUCAUGUGAUAUUUUCAUUAGGAAAAUGAGUUGGAACAGUGACAAGAUCAGCUGCUUCCCUUCCAGUCUAGAUGUUGGUAUGUAAAAGAAACUCCACAGUUUCUACACAUUAGUGAAUGUAGAAGUGCAGUAAAUGAAUCUUCAUGUAGUAUGAAAUUAUUGAUGUAAAUACCACGGGAAACAAAACAAUAGUGCAGUAUUAUAGUUUUGAUCCAUUUUCUUCCUUAUUGCUUCUGUUGUUCUGUUGACAAUAAUUUAUCACGUUCUUUUUCUGCAAUAUUACUUGGCUUUGUUUUAGUAUAGUUGUGUUUUGCCUUUAAAAUACUAUGAAAACUAUUAUUCUUGUUUUUUAAUCAUUAUCUAAUAAAAAAGAUAAAAUAUGGCAUCUUUUGGAAAUACUAGGUGAAAUGUUGAUUCUGAAACAAUGCUGGUAAAGAAAAAGCACAGUGGCUACCAGUUUUUCUUGUCUAUCAGAACACUGAAGAUGGGUUUUAUAUAGAUGGUUCUUUAAAAGAAAAGUGCCCAAAUUUCAGUUUCAACCUCCACGUGCUACUGAAUGCAAGCCUUUCCUAAUUUCAAAAUAUUGUUAAGAUAUUACAUCAUUGUACUUGAGCUCUAACAUUAGGUUAUGAAACCAAAACUGUGCACUGUGGACACCAGCAAGUUUGUCUCAAUGCUAUGGUUCUGUACCUGAGCAUUUCAUUAUUUUCUGAUUAUUCAAUUACAUUGCAGAUAAUGCCCAGUAAGAGAAUCAUCCCAGAUAGCAUGAAGAAAUAUUGCCUCUUAAGCUAAAUCUGCACGUAUUGGCAACUGAUUAUCCAAUUAGUUCAUGCUUAAUGCUGAAUUUGGUAUUUCUUGUGGCGUAUAUUUAUUUCCCAGUAGUUUUUAUACAGCAACAAAUAGCUGAAUGGAGUUACCCUGUUGCGCUUAAACUCAGAUCAGCUCCCUGCCUGCAUUUUUGUGGAUGUUGUCAAAGUUAUGCAUUCAGUUCAUGUUUAUUCCUUUAUUGUUAUUACUUGUUCUGCAUGCAUUUGUUUUCCAGUAGCUCUAGUUUGAUUGGAAAAAAAUGGCCUGUGUUUAUUCUGUCAUGUCUGAACUAGACUCAGCUGCCUGCCUCUAUUUCUAAAAUAAUUCAAAUAUAGGUGGAUCCCUUUCCAGAUAUGUCUUUGAUUUGCACUCCUUAUCAGCCAUCCCACAUGUGCCUUAUAGCUAAGACAGCUAGGCUGUUCUGUUCUUCUUCAUGCUUGAGAUGGCUCAUCACCUUAAACAGCAACCUUUACUUUGCUAUAGUGCUAUUCUAUUUGUAUCCAUUUCUGUAGAGCUGUCUAUAAUGCAAACAUACAGAUAUCCAUACAGAACUCCCAGCCUCUGAAGCAGUAAGUGCUGUAUAACUUCUAUCACUAUUAAUACAAAUUUGUAAUGGCUUAAUGGAUUUUUUCAAUUGUUUAGAAUUCAGAAACUUCUUUACAAAUAUUUGUUAGCAAAUGCAAGACAAAAGGUUUUCAUUCUGAUAAGUCAGGCUCAAAUAAUUCUAGUAAGUGGAUUUAUAUUAGGCUUGUGAUCAGUCACUAGUGGGGUUCUAAAAGGCUUCAUUUUAGGGCCAGUUCUAUUUAAUAUUUUAAUUAAUCACCUGGAUGCAGGACUUGAAGACCUUAAAGGUAUGCGAAGUAAGUUUGAGGAUAGCACUAAACUGAGACAAGUUGUUAACUGGCUGGAGGGAAGAGAGGCCUUGCAUGACGUUCAGGAGGAAGUUCUGGAUUCUGCCACUUGGGACAGGACAGUCCUGGAUAUAUGUUAAGACUGGGUGAUGAGCAGCAACCCUGUGGAAAGUGAUCUGGAGGUUCUGUCCGAAAGCAAGUUGAAUGUGAGCCAGCAGCGUGCCCUGGAAGCCAAAAUGACCAACUGUACCCUGGGGUGCAUUAGACCCAGCAUUGCCAGCCAGGUGGGGGAGGGGUAGUCCUGCUCUGUGUCCAUAUCUGGAGCUCUGUGUGUGGCUUUAGGUGUCACAGUACAAAAGGGGCAUAAAACUACUAGAGAGAAUACACAGAAGAGCUCUAAAUAUGGUGAAGGGUGUGGAGGGCUUGAUCUCAUUGGGAGCUGGACUUAAUGAUCCUUGUGAACUCCUUCCAACUCAGGGUAUUCUAUGACUGAUAUUAAAAAAAGAAAAUACAGAAAUAAUGAUUAAGAUGCUCAAUGCACGUGCUCUACAGGAAGGAAAAAAAAACCAACAAAACAUUGUGUACAGCUGUCAGAAGGUCAGAGGAUGAAUGAAUAUGACUUAUCAGUUGUGUGAUAAGAUUUUCAUAGAUAGGAUUCAUCAGUGUUCACCUUUCUCAGUCACGUUUCAGUCCCAUUUAUUUUCUGUCAGAAUUUACAGGCAUGAAUUGCAAAAUAGGAGGGAAUAUGUUCUGGGUACUGCCUAUUAAGUAAGGUAGGUCAUUUGGGCUGUCUUGGAUGCACAGAUUGAAUGACCUAGAUGUAACAUAAGGUUUCUUUUUUUGCAUAACUUCAAAGAUUUUUGAACAUACAGUUUCAGUAAGAUAUUCAUGUAGGAAUCAAGUGUCAGAAAAAAAAGAUUAAGGAGGAACAGUGGAUUCAGACAUGGUUCUGGGCUGGGAUGAAUGGUGCAGAUGCUUGGCUUUUUUUUUUUUUUUGUAAGUUAUUUAGGAUGAUAACCACAAAAGAUUCUGUGCAGAAUUGUUUUACCCAGAAUAGUUAAGCAGCCCAGGGAGGUUUACAAAUUGGUUGCUACACCAUGGACUUUUCUCUAUGCUCUUGUGUGAAACAAUUUUAAAACGCUUAUCAGGGAUGUAGGAUUUUGGAGCUCUGAAUGGUAACCCAGAUGAAGUGAAUGUAUGUCAGGCACUUAUUAAAUCAGUAAAUAAACGUUUUUGUCUCUCUUUCCUCAGUUUUUACGUGCUAGCAGAAACUACAGGAUAUUAUGUGUAGACUCUUGUAUGUUGAAGAAUGUAAAGGGGAAAAAAAUCAGCAGUGGAAAUCGGAGAAACUGCAUUGAAUUCAUAUGAUAACGUAUAAUGUAAUGUUUGAAAAUACUUGUGUGGAAGAGGCAAAGUUACAUAUUUUCAUCAAAUAAAGAAACUGAACUCCAGAAUUCCUUUACCCGCAUCCAGUACAUUAUUGUAUUGGUAACAGAGAGGUUGGUGCUCACUUUCCUGGAUUUACAACUGGGAGGAUAAGUGAGAAAAUGAUUACUGAUUUCAAAGAAUAAUUUUCUUUAUAUGUAAAUAAUGUUUGUAGUCUAAAUGUUGAAUAUGUGUGGCUGUAGUUUGAGCAGGUAAACUGUCUCUAAGAACAUGAAGAGAUAGUUCAUCUGUUUUUGUAGUUCAGCUUCUAAAAGUUUCUUUUUCCUGUAAUAUGAAGUUAAAAAUUAACUUUUUCGAAGUUUUAUUUUCAAAGCCAGUUGUUCAUAAUGACCCACGAAUUUGUUUUCCUGCAGAUUGCCACUUUUGCUACCUUCAUCUGCCAUCUUGUGGUAUGUUAGCUUAAUCUCAGGUGUAUAGAUAUAUCUCUAUUUUUACUGUUUUACAUUUUUUUUUCCGAUUUCACACUUCUAAUUUCUAGAAUGAGGCAAGCUGAUUUUAUUUUUGUGAACUAACCUGUACAGUAAAUGGAUUUUCAAGCACUGUUUUCAGUAUUGGAAAAAUAAUAAUAAAAAAAAAACAGU